rnacentral:rRNA from 1 species
GCCAUCCUACUACAGUUCUCGGACGCCACUGGACUCAAAAUAAACUCCCACAAAAGCACUUUCGCCCCAAUCCAUGUUGACCCUGAACUCUCUUCCAGCCUCGCGGCCAUUUUGGGAUGCCCGGUUGCCUCUUUCCCCCAGUCUUACUUAGGCUUGCCCCUCUCUACCCACAAGCUUCAUCUUGUAGACUUUUUCUUCCUCAUUGACAAGAUUGACCGAAGAUUGGUAGGCUGGAGAGGACUGUUACCAUCGUGGGCCGGAAGAGCCAUUCUU